rnacentral:misc_RNA from 1 species
AAUUAUCAACUCCCAUUCUUUGUUGAUUGGUGAGCUUGGACUUGGGGACUGCUGGUGCAAAUCAGCUUCCCUUGAAUGAAUUAGCUGGAAUUUGAUUCGCAGCAUAUAUGCGGUGUGAUAAUGUCGUCACUGUGUAGCUCGGAUUGUCUGGCUUCUAAUCGUCCUUCACGGACAACUUGAUC